CCUGAAAGAACUGUACUUUGCAGUGCUCACACAGAUUGUCUGAUGAAAAUGAGCAGUAAAACCUCUACAGGCUUGUAGCUCAGGUGGUUAGAGCGCACCCCUGAUAAGGGUGAGGUCGGUGGUUCAAGUCCACUCAGGCCUACCAAAUUUGCACCGCAAAUUUGAAGAGGUUUUAACUACAUGUUAUGGGGCUAUAGCUCAGCUGGGAGAGCGCCUGCUUUGCACGCAGGAGGUCUGCGGUUCGAUCCCGCAUAGCUCCACCAUCUCUGUAGUGAUUAAACAAAAAAUACUUCAGAGUGUACCUGCAAAGGUUCACUGCGAAGUUUUGCUCUUUAAAAAUCUGGAUCAAGCUGAAAAUUGAAACACUGAAUAGUCGAAAGAUUAUUCGUGAGUCUCUCAAAUUUUCGCAACACGAUGAUGAAUCGCAAGAAACAUCUUCGGGUUGUGAG
rnacentral:misc_RNA from 1 species